rnacentral:rRNA from 1 species
CGUAGGGUGCGAGCGUGAAUCGGAAUUACUGGGCGUAAAGCGUGCGCAGGCGGUUUUGUAAGCCAGAUGUGAAAUCCCCGGGCUUAACCUGGGAAUGGCAUUUGGGACUGCAAGGCUGGAGUACGGCAGAGGAGACUGGAAUUCCUGGUGUAGCAGUGAAAUGCGUAGAGAUGUGGAGGAAUACCGAUGGCGAAGGCAGCCCCCUGGGAUGAUACUGACGCUCAUGCACGAAAGCGUGGGGAGCAAACAGG